CCUGAAAGCAUGAGAAGACCUGGUUAGGCCAGCAGACAUUGGGGGAAGAACAAGGAUGCUGAACUUCUGUAAACAACUGUCAACUUAGUUGUCUGAGCUUCUUGUCUGCUCUUGUUUAUUUAAAUAAUGGCUCGAGUCCUUAUUAGGGACUGUGAGCUCAUGUGAUAGACUGCAAAAAAAAAAAAGCCAUAAAUACUUUGCAGUUUUUUCCCAUCAAGGGGUGGAGUCUGCUACUGCACCUCUUGAAUCUGGGCUUGGCUAUAUGACUUUGCUUUUGGUCAGUGGGACCUGAGCAAACAUGGCUUGGAAACAGCUGUCAGGAACUUUUCCACCACUGUGUAAGCAAGCCUGGCUAUCUGCUGGAGAGAACACGUGGAGAGAGGCCCCAGGAGCACAGGGAAGCCAAAGACCAUCAAUUGGCCUGGACCCAAGACUGACCAUGGAUCUUCCCAACUAUUGUUUCAUCGUUUUUGCUGACGAUAUUGCACUCUUGGCUUGGACCAGCUUAUUCAGCAGUGAGGCUCUAGGCAGGCUUGUUUAAGUCCUGGAAUUCCCUCAAGUUAUGCUGGAGGAAGGGGGACACAUAAUCUCUCUUCUGGGCUAUACAGAAAAUUUAACUGGCGCCUCUGCCUGUUUUUGCCACCUCCAAACCACUCAACACAGGUCAGUUAAAGUCACUGUUCUUAAAACCUUCAUCUACAGAGUGAAGUCCCUAACUCCCCAGCUGGGUUUCCUGCCUCCCCCUGUAGUGUGUUCCUCCUGCAUCCCACUUUCUACUUGAACAUCUCUUGCUCUUUAGUGUCUCCCUGUCUUUGCAGUUACUACUCCUGCUGCCUGGGAUGCCCUUCUUUAACUGGCAAACUCCACCAAGUUCUUUAAAAUCCGCUCUGGUUUUCCCUGCUUUGACAUCUCCUGGAAGGCCAGCCUUGCACUUUAGACAGUACCUGGAAACUGCUCCCCAUCGGACUCUUCCCUCAGCUGCUCGCUCCUCCGGCUCUCUCGGGCCUCCCUCCAGCGCAGCUUCUGAAUGGAUGGAUUUCGGAGGCAUUUCCGGACACGGCACCUUUUCCGCUGCACAGUCUCUGGGCAGGGUGCACCUCCAAACUGAGGCUCCAUUUGGAUCAUGCGGGUUCGGAUCAUGUGGCCUUUCCCACAUGACUUGUUACAUUCUGACCACUGGGACCACUCGGUGAGCUCACAGUCAAUGGCUGGCAAGAGAGAGAUGGGCAUGAGUGCAUCUCAUGUCUGAAACAAGAUACUGUCACUUAUACUCCUUGGCAUUUCUCAUAGGCUUGUGUUAAAAUGUUCAAAACAGGUACUGUUUUUAUGGAAGUAGAAACUGUUUUUAUGAAAGUAGAAACUGAGGCUCCAAGAGACAGAUUAUCUAGCCCACAUGGUUGGUAAGCAGUAUAUGCAAGGUUAGUGCCCAAAUCAUAGCCAACCUUCUUUGCCCUCUUUAUGAUUUGAGAUGGCUUUGGGGGGACUUUGAAGAUGAGUUCAAAGCCUCUUGCCCUGCAAGCUUCUAGAAGAGUAUCAAGUUAGCCUCAAGUGGCACAGACCAGCUUCCCACAGCAGAGGACCCUGAUUUUCUCAGGGAAGGCAUAGCUCACUGGUGCCAUUUUUCAGAGCUGAACCCUGUGGACAGUACUAAGGACACUGACUUGCAGUAAGACCCAGGCAGUGUCUCUUGUUCUCGACAUCAUCCUGGGUCUUCUGUGUGGCAGUCUGCAAAAAACACAGGAGUCGGAAGUGGGAAAUUCAGUAGAGAAGAGGGACAGGAGCAAGUGGUGUCCUGGCUUAUCACAGUAAGAGAUCCAGCAAGUUCUCAUUAAGCCAGCAUCUCAAAAUGUGGAGGGAGAACAGCUUAACAGAGUGACUCUCAGGAUGUCUCCUAGAGAGGUAGAUGAUUCCAAACUCUCCACUGCCUUUGCAAAGUGAGGACCAGGCUGGAGAGACGUAGCAAGAACUCGUUUUGUUCACAGUCUCAGGCCUUUUCUCCCUGUGGGAGCUCCGGCAGCUUUCCUGUACGCAUCAUGGGUAUGAUGGUAAUUUUCUCAUCAGGUUGUGAGGAUUGAGGGGAAUAAUGCUCCCAGCCCAAUUCUUGGCCCACAGUUAGUUAGUAUUUAAAUAUUCUUUCUUUUCUCCCUUCAUUCAGUGGACCUUGUGGCUAUAGAGUUUUGUUUAAGUUGGUUACAGCGUCUCAGAAGGUUCUGGAACCCCAGCUGGGCUGAACUCUGGGUCAAUCUUAAUUAUUAAAAAGCGCAGGCUUUAUUUAAUUUGAUGGCCUGAGUCACCUCCACACAUGGCUGAGUCUGGUUUAAAAAAGCUCAGGAAUUGGUCUACAUAACACUGACGGAGGCUGCACUCUCCAGGUCCAGUGCUCGGCACUUUGUACCAGUUCUGUGGUUUAAUUCGCAGAGCAAGCUAAGAUGUCUUUCUUGCUAUUUUACGGGUGACAGAUGGGGUGCUAAGUAAUCUGCUGAAGUUUAUGCAGCCAGUAAGGGACAGAGCUGGGAUCUGCACUCGGGCAGGCAGCCUGAGUAAUACAAGAGAGAGGAACCACAGAAGACUGCAAGUGCAUUUCAGAGGAAGCCAGAAAACAGAUCUCAGCAAGCAUGGCUGGCUUCCCACCACCUGAAAGGGAAGCUGUCACGACAGACUAGCCAGAAAGAUGGGCUCUCCUUGCAAAUCAGUCCCCAGGUAAUAAACACAGCUGAUCACAAAGAUCUGGGAGGAGAUGGGAGUGGGCCUUGGACUUCUGAAAGCUCAGCUUAUUGGUUUGCUGGCCUGUCUACUAUCAAGGCUGCAAAGAUAACAGGAGUCACUGGUUUGAUGUCCACCUUCUGGUCAUGGUCACAUAAGAUGGUCACAGGGAGGAGAAAGGAUUAAAACCCUUGGAAAACCCAGGGGUCAGACAAGCCUCUAAUCUGGGGAGGGGUGGAAAACUAUGAAAUAAGUUUUACUGAGCCUGUGCUGUUUUUCGUCCAAGUCUCCUGUUUAGACUUCACGGCAUCAUGCAGUUUGGGUAUUAAGGAGAUAGUAGUGGGAUCCCCUAUUACUCCUGAGAAGAUGGAAGUUUAAAUACUUUACUGCUACAGAGAUCCUAGGCCUGUGCUCUUUCUCCCCAGCAAAUGAUCUCGCACAGGGCUGGUUAACAGGAGGAGUGGAGAGGUGGCUCCCAGGAGCUCCAGGACUUACGGCAUUCAGGCAGCAUGCACUUUUCCACCUGCUCCAGCUCCUCGUUACAGUCCCCGAGUUCGGCCAGAGACUUGAGCAUCCGCUGGCGGGUCCUCAUGCCCUUCCCACAGGUCACGCUGCAGUCGCUCCACUCGGACCAUGGGGACAGCAAGCAUGGAAUGGUGUCUAGGUCAAGAACCAGGUUUGCUACUGAGAUCAGGCCCCCUGCCCUAGAGAGGUAGAUGAUUCCAAACUCUUCACUGUCCCACGCGCAGGGCACCUUAUGUGAAAUUGACCAAUGGGUUCAGAUAAUCCAAGUGACCCCCAUGGAGCAAGGAGUGGCUCAGCAGACUACUGACUGCUCUUGUCACUCCUGCAUUUCCCCUGGCUCAGCUGGUGGUCAUGAUGUGACAGCAGAUGUGGCUUAGUAAUAUGAAUGCACACAUCCCCACUUGAAACACCCGAGAGUCUGAAUGGGGUCUUCCCAGAGACAAACAUCCCACAUGCCCCAAGAGCCAUGAACUAAAAGACAGGCUCAAGGAUGUGUUUUUGGACACUUUGGUGCUGAAGUCUCUAGAAUGUGCGUGUACCUGGGUGCAUGUGUACAUCUGUGUAGUGAUGUAUGGGCCUAUAUGCAUUUGUGUAUAGAGCAGGAAUUCUAAUGCAGCACAUGGGACCACAGGCAACUCCAAGGAGAAUGAGAGGUCUGUGAUGACCUGGAGAAUGCACAUCUUGUCUGCAUCUAUCAAUCACCCCCACCCCCAAGAUACUCUGGGGUCGUAUAAAACACAGCCACAAGUGAAUUCUAUCCAGAGGCCACCAGUUUGCCACCCUAGCAUUACUCAGAAUGGCCCUUAAAGGCGGCUGCUCUCUCAAUCUGGUUGAUGCCGUCAUACCUAUAGUCCUCAUCUUGCUCCUAGCAGUACCCUGUAAGGACAGGGUCUGUAUUUUCCCCCUGCAUCUGCCCAGCCUUGAUGGUGGUAAUAGUAGGGGCUGCUGUGGUCCUCAGUCCUCUCCCCCACGCCCACCUCACGCCCACUCACGGCACUCGGGCAUCAUGCACUUCUCUGCCUGAGACGUCUCGGCCUUGCACAUGGAACCGUCCGCGGGGCUCAUCUUCACCAUGCGGUGCCGCUUCUUCAUGC